rnacentral:pre_miRNA from 1 species
UAGCAGCGGGAACAGUACUGCAGUGAAUACUAGUCUGGAGUAUUGUUGCUGCUGCCCUG